rnacentral:rRNA from 1 species
AACGAACGCUGGCGGCAUGCCUAACACAUGCAAGUCGAACGAGACCUUCGGGUAUUUUUGCGCACGGGUGCGUCACGCGUCGGAACCUGCCCUUAGGUUCGGACUAACUCUCCGAAAGGGGUGCUAAUACGGGACAAUGUCUUCGGACGCAAGAUUUAUCUACUUUGAAUGGGUCCGCGUUGGAUUAGCUAGUUGGUAACGUAAAAGUCUACCCAGGCUACGAUACAUAGCUGGUCUGAUAGGAUGAUCAGCAACACUGGGAGUGUGACACGGCUCAGACUCUUACGAAAGGCAGCAGUGGGGAAUAUGGGACACUGGGCGAAAGCCUGAUCCAGCAAUGCCGCGUGAGUGAUGAAGGCGUGAGGGUUGUAAAGCUCUUUUAACCGGGAAGAUAAUGACAGUACCGAGAGAAUAAGCUCCGGCUAACUCCGUG